AACGAACGCUGGCGGCAUGCCUAACACAUGCAAGUCGAACGAGACCUUCGGGUCUAGUGGCGCACGGGUGCGUAACGCGUGGGAACCUGCCCUUAGGUUCGGAAAACUUCCCCGAAGGGGGGCUUAAAACCGGUAAUGGUUUUCGGACAAAGGUUUAUCGGCUUUGGAUGGGCCCGCGUUGGAUUAGCUAGUUGGUAGGGUAAAAGCCUACCAAGGCGACGGUCCAUAGCUGGUCUGAGAGGAUGAUCAGCCACACUGGGACUGAGACACGGCCCAGACUCCUACGGGAGGCAGCAGUGGGGAAUAUUGGACAAUGGGCGAAAGCCUGAUCCAGCAAUGCCGCGUGAGUGAUGAAGGCCUUAGGGUUGUAAAGCUCUUUUACCCGGGAUGAUAAUGACAGUACCGGGAGAAUAAGCUCCGGCUAACUCCGUG
rnacentral:rRNA from 1 species